AAGAGUCUCAGAGAACUGGGAUUUUAUUGUGGGGGUCUUGGUCUUGGGUUUCUCCCUACAGAUUCUAACUCCACAGAGUGACCAGAGAGAGGAAGUGGCCCAAGACACCAAAGAGGAGAGAGGGGAAGUGUCCAGCCAAGGCCCCGAGGACUCACUCCUGGGGACACAGUCCCGUGGCUACUUCAGCCGCCAGCCAGUGAAGUAUCACCGAGGGGGCGUGCGGCCUGUCACCCACCAGCUGUCCAGCUUGGCCCUGGUGGCUUACAAAAUUGACGAGGAGACUCCUGUCACAUCCGGGCCUCAAGGGAGCUUGCGGGGGAGGGGACCAGGCCCUGCUGCGGCCUCCCCUGAGGGCACUCCACCACGCCGCACCCCGCUGCCCAAGCACUUUGAGAUCACCCAGGAGACAGCCCGGCUGCUCUCCAAGCUGCACAGAGAGGAGGUGCCCACGGCCACCUGCUGCCCGGACCCUCCGCCUGAGGAUGAGGAAGUCGAGCGUCUCUGACCAGCCCAGCCCUCUGACCAAGUGGCCCAGGAUUGAGGACAUAGACUCACUUCUCCCCAGUUCAAUGUUGGGGGAUCUGGAGAGUUCCUAUAAG